rnacentral:rRNA from 1 species
GAUGAACGCUGGCGGCGUGCCUAAUACAUGCAAGUCGAGCGAACAGACGAGGAGCUUGCUCCUCUGACGUUAGCGGCGGACGGGUGGGUAACACGUGGAUAACCUACCUAUAAGACUGGGAUAACUUCGGGAAACCGGAGCUAAUACCGGAUAAUAUAUUGAACCGCAUGGUUCAAUAGUGAAAGACGGUUUUGCUGUCACUUAUAGAUGGAUCCGCGCCGCAUUAGCUAGUUGGUAAGGUAACGGCUUACCAAGGCAACGAUGCGUAGCCGACCUGAGAGGGUGAUCGGCCACACUGGAACUGAGACACGGUCCAGACUCCUACGGGAGGCAGCAGUAGGGAAUCUUCCGCAAUGGGCGAAAGCCUGACGGAGCAACGCUGCGUGAGUGAUGAAGGUCUUCGGAUCGUAAAACUCUGUUAUUAGGGAAGAACAAAUGUGUAAGUAACUAUGCACGUCUUGACGGUACCUAAUCAGAAAGCCACGGCUAACUACGUG